ensembl:lncRNA
CUGACGGUGCAUGGUGCAGUGGGCACGAGGCUCUCCGGUAUAGUAGGGGCGGUAAUGACUCUCCGGUACAGUAGGGGCGGUAAUGACGUUCAGUUACAGUAGGGCGCAGAGCUGCGCCUGCGCAAUAUACGGUCCGCCUUUGUGAUUUCCAAGACAGGGAAAAAAACAGCUGGAUGUCUGUUAGCUCCUCUGUCAGCUCCUCGGCUAACCCACCUGGCUAACCUCAUCCUCCGCUCUCCUCAGGUAGGAUUACUACCGUAUACCUACUAGACUCAGACCGUAGCCUGGUGACUGGGACCUGGUUACUGUCGGUGAGACCCGAGCUGUUGGAAACUGGUGUUUGAGCUGCUAACAGGCUACUGGAGAGCUAGCCGUCUUGUUGUCACUCGGUUCAGCUGUAGAGUUUAUAUCUCUAGGCUGGCGGCGGGUCCCCCAAAGGGAGACCCCCCCCAAACCCGGGAGACCCCCCCCCCCCCAACGGGAGAGACAGUCACUAGUAGUGUUACUAGUAAGCCUGACUAGUAAUUUUCUAGUCGUAGAACUAUCUAUUUACUAAGCAGAAUCUAAAGCGACCUACAGUGAAUACAGAGACAGGUCAGUAAGGAGCAGGUAGGGGUUAGACAGUACAGAGACAGGUCGCUAAGGAGCAGGUAGGGGUUAGACAGUACAGAGACAGGUCAUUAAGGAGCAGGUAGGGGUUAGACAGUACAGAGACAGGUCAUUAGGGAGCAGGUAGGGGUUAGACAGUACAGAGACAGGUCAUUAAGGAGCAGGUAGGGGUUAGACAGGUCAUUAAGGAGCAGGUAGGGGUUAGACAGUACAGAGACAGGUCAUUAAGGAGCAGGUAGGGGUUAGACAGUACAGAGACAGGUCAUUAAGGAGCAGGUAGGGGUUAGCCAGUACAGAUACAGGACGUUAAGGAGCAGGUAGGGGUUAGCCAGUACAGAGACAGGUCAUUAAGGAGCAGGUAGGGGGGUUCUUUCCAGGUAUAGGUGUGGUUUCCAGGUGUGUAGCAACCAAUAACGUAAUAACUGCCAAUAACUUAAUCAUUAUAAUUUAAUAAAGCCAAUAACGUAAUAACUUGCAAAUAAUGAAAUAAAGUUGUUGAGCCAAGAAUGUACUAACUUAUUAAGUUAUUUGCUGGUUAUUUUGUUACUGGCCUUGUAAGAAAAAAAUCAUUUUUUCUUGAAGUUCUGCGUUGCAGUUUUCAGUAUGGCAUAAUAAUAUAAUUCAUAAGUAUUAUAUGUCUGCAGCUCCCC